rnacentral:rRNA from 1 species
GAACGCUAGCGGCGUGCCUAACACAUGCAAGUCGAACGUGAAGAAGACUUCGGUCUUUGGAAAGUGGCGGACGGGUGAGUAAGACGUAGGUAACCUGCCUUGAAGUGGGGGAUAACCAUUGGAAACGAUGGCUAAUACCGCAUGGUUCUGUCGAUACGGGAGUAUGGACAGGUAAAGCUCCGGCGCUUCAAGAGGGGCCUACGGCCGAUUAGUUAGUUGGUGAGGUAAUGGCUCACCAAGACGAUGAUCGGUAGCUGGUCUGAGAGGACGAUCAGCCACACGGGAACUGAGACACGGUCCCGACUCCUACGGGGGGCAGCAGUGAGGAAUAUUCGUCAAUGGGGGCAACCCUGAACGAGCAACGCCGCGUGGAGUAUGAAGGCCCUUGGGUUGUAAACUCCUUUUCUGUGGGAAGAGGAAGGACGGUACCACAGGAAUAAGUCACGGCUAACUACGUGCCAGCAGCCGCGGUAAUACGUAGGUGGCAAGCGUUAUCCGGAUUUACUGGGCGUAAAGCGCACGCAGGCGGCUGUCCAAGU